CCCUGGCCUCACAGCAAACGGCCAGUCACAGAGCCGGCUCUCAAACAUUUAUUGAAGGAAUGAAUGAAAGUGAGUGCCUCUUGGCUGUCAAAGGGGUUCGAAUUGCUAAAACCCCAUAAGGGCCCAGGGCAGUUUCACCAUUAGGGCAGCCUGGCACCUGGUUCGAGAGAACAGCACUGCAUAUGCUCCCAGGCGAUUGCAUUUGCGUGUCUCAAACAUUUGCCUGAAACUAGUACAGAAUUUCAUCUGAUUUCUGAUGACUCCCAUCCCUCCUUCUUCCCUCCCACCCCUUGAUCUCCUUCGCGUUUUCCUGUUUGUAUUCAACGCGUCCCUGCUUGUGCGAGAAAAGCAAAGAAUCCCACAAAACUCUUUUCUUUAUCCUCUUUCCAGAAAAAUGGGCCAAUUCACAGCUGCAAUCGUUGGGAGAAUUUCCUGUCUGGGAGUCUGGAAACUGCCAAGAGUGGAAAGCUGCAGCCAGCCAGCGAGGCCUCUGUUGUCACUGGCCCAAACAACAACAAAAACAACCGCAACAACAACAACAACAACAAAACAUGCCACGUGUGCACCGGCAUAUACAAACACGCCCACAGAACCAAACCAAGCGGACAAGGCUUCAAGGAGAGCUUCUGGGCGGCUCAUUCCCGUGGAAAAAGAAAUGACAGUAGACUACUGGUUCAAAAUACUCUCUUCUAUCCAACAAGGCCAAGAGAUGCAAAGGAUUAAUCAUGAACCCAGUUGCCCAGAGGAGGAAAAAAAAAAUUCUGUUGUAGACGGAAGAAGCAAGAAGUUAUAUGAACACCAAGAGGCCGGCAACAUGAGUGUGGCCUGAGUCCGACGCCUUCGCCCACCCUCUUCCAGAUCACCUGAUCCGAAAGAAGUUCCGAAAAUAGCUCAGAAUCUGGGCCUGCCUGGAAGAGACAUAAAGAUUCAUUUACAUGGGAAGGUGACUGCUCUGAAUAUCCACAGACGACCAAUCUAUGCUAAUGGUUCAGUCUCCCUCAAAUCUGGAAUUUAUAUAACUGGCUCCUACCCUCUGUCCUUGCCAGCAGAAAUGCCUGAAUUAUCUUAAUUCCAGAAUGUAAAUUAUUCCAAUUUUGAGGCCAUCAUUUUAAAGCUGUCAAAGUCAAUAUUUUUAACAGCCUAGAAAAAAAUUACAACUGGAAAAUGUCUAAACAAGUUGUGCUUGAGGUCUUGAGGCAACUCCUGGCAAAUAUCUGUGCUGAGGUGGAUAAAUACCCUACACUAAUUUCACAAUGAAAGAAGAACAUAAAUUUCUCUCAACACCAAUUUGUGUGCCAGAGUAAAUGUGUUCGUCCACUGGCAUUGACCAUUUUCAAUCUGUUACCUUCCAUUUAUGCUCUAACCAUUUGUCUUUAUUUAUUAAUUUUUCUUUUUUGAGACAAAGUCUUGCUCUGUCACCCAGGCUGAAGUGCAGUGGCGAGAUCUUGGCUCACUACAACCUCCACCUCCCAAGUUCAAGCAAUUCUCCUGCCUUACCCUCCCAAGUAGCUGGGAUUACAGGCACCCACCACGAUGCCCAGCUACUUUUGGUAUUUUUAGUAGAGAAGGGGUUUCACCAUGUUGGUCAGGUUGGUCUUGAACUCCUAGCCUUAAGUGAUCUGCCUUCCUCAGCCUCCCAAACUCCUGGGAUUACAGGUAUGAGCCACCACACCGAGCCCCAUUUAUCUUUUAAUGUGAAGACUUUUAAAAUACAUUAAUUCUUAAAAUAAUAACAUUCAAUACUUGGUUAUGAGAAAUGGGGAAAAAUCCUUCCCUCGCCUCCAUUCUUCCUAAAUUUUCAUUUCAUUUCUAUUUUAAUCCACUUCAUCCAUUAUUCUCUGAGUGCUACUGUGUGCUGGACACAGAUCUAUGGAUGCUGAGAUCUGUAAGAACUUCCUCAAGGUGAGAGAAGAGGCUUUCAAAGGAACUACAUCUUGGUCAGGAAGGAAAUGGCAUUUCCUUUUUUAAUGUACAUAUCAGUUUCCACACAGGUGAAUCAUCCUCUCUACCUUAUUAACUCUUUCCUGCAGAAACCUGGGAUUGAAGGAAGUGAGAAUGGAAGGAAAAGACUAUACAAAGAAGAAUCACAUUUAUGGUUUGCCUUUGGGGUAGAAGCCAUUCUUUUGCACCUGGGGAACUGGCCAGGCUGUAAGAAUAUGGUGCCAACCAACUGGCACCUCUGCCCACCAUUGCUCUAGAGGCCAGGCUAAAUGGUCCUUGUGAAAUAGGGCUGGAAAAUCUCUGUUAUGGGCCCAUCUCCUAUUCAGAGGCUGGAAAACACCCCAUUCCUAUAGCUCUGAAGCAGGAUUAAUUGAUUGGUCUCAUAUGAACGUAAAAGCUGUUAAGAGCAAAGAGGAUGAAAAGCAAUUCAAAUUGCUUGAUUACCAUUUUCUAGUAAAGUACCAGUUUAGUUCUCAGCCCUACUGUGAAGCAGCAGGUUUCCAGAUAUUGACUGUGCUGGCAUGUGCUCCUAGAAGAGAGGAAAUGCCUGGGUCUGAAAAGCUGAAACAUCUGCUCAGAUCUCUGGCAGGCCUGUUGCUGGAGCUGCUGGGGGUG
rnacentral:lncRNA from 10 species